CUUGACUCUAGAGGUGUUGCAGGUAUGUCUGCUGUGUCACACGCAUGUUCAUAGGUGACAGAUGGGAGAAAGUCUAUGUCUAUGCUCAGUGUUCUGACUUGUGAACAUCUGAAUAGUUAGUAGCCUAACAAU